ACGGAAGGCAGCAGUAGGGAAUAUUGCACAAUGGGGGAACCCUGAUGCAGCAACGCCACGUGUGGGAAGAAGCAUUUCGGUGUGUAAACCGCUGUCGUGAGGGAAUAAUGCUUGGUUUCGGCCAAGUUGAAUGUACCUCGAAAGGAAGCACCGGCAAACUUCGUGCCAGCAGCCGCGGUAAUACGAGGGGUGCAAGCGUUGUUCGGAAUCACUGGGCGUAAAGGGAGCGCAGGCGGAGAUGCAAGCAGUCUGUACAAUACCGGGGCCCAACCCCGGACCUGCAGACUGGACUGUUUCUCUUGGAUAGUUCAGGGGCAAGCGGAAUUCCUGGUGUAGCGGUGGAAUGCGUAGAGAUCAGGAAGAACACCGAUGGCGGAGGCAGCUUGCUGGGGACUUAUCGACGCUCAUGCUCGAAAGUGCGGGUAGCAAACAGGAUUAGAUACCCUGGUA
rnacentral:rRNA from 1 species